UUUUAUACAUAGGCUAUGAAAAAGAGCUUUACGAGGAAAACCAGAUUCUUAAGAACAAAUUGGAUGAGAUUGGUCGUGUUUGUCAAUAUGAUGCAGUACAGAAAAUAGCUCCUGAAGUUAUAUCAAAAUUGGAACCAUCUAAGUUGAG
rnacentral:sRNA from 1 species